GCCCGAGCAAGGCUGAGGGUGGCGGCUCUCUCAGUUCCAGUAUUCGUUCAGUAGCGCUGGCGAGGCGACCCCCAGGCUUGCCGCGACACACGCUCUCUAGCAGCACGGUGUUGCCCGGGUGACGGGACCAGACCUGGAAGUGGAAAAUAUCGUAAAGUGAACCGUGCAAAGGAAACCAGCUGAAAAGUGACUGGGAAAUAAUCACUCUGAACAAUGAGAAACGUGAGACAGUGACACGAAACAAAACAAAAACAAAACAAAACAAAAAGUUCAUAAACUAUAGAUUAAAAAAAGACAAGGAAAACAACUCUCAGCAGACAUAAAAAGAAAGUAGAACAAAACAGCUUUACAGAAUACAGGAUAAGAACAUUUUUCCUACAUCACAUCUCUCCUAUUUACUAACCUCUUAUUUGAAGAGUACAGGAUCACAUAUCACACGCACAUUAUAGCGUCACCCAGCACUUCACGCCAUAGGAUAUACAUAUUGCUGUCACUGAAAUAAAAAAGAAAAAAGAUUCAUAAGGAAAACAGUGAGAGAGGAACAAAUGAAAGAAUCAGAGUAAAUAAUGAUAAUGGAGCAGCAAUAGUGAAGUUAUAUAGCAAAGGACAACUUGCAACACCGUAUACAUAACUGCCCAGUGUGUCUCCCACGGCACUACAACAUCGAACAAAGCAACAUAUUCUGAAAUAUUUCUGUGCCUCACCUGCAGCACUUUCUAAAGGCACGCUACAAGCAGAUCUGCUCUAGUGGCAGUUCAACGAGAUAUCCACACUAUCAAAAGGAGAGGCAGUCUUGAGAACCCGGCUAAUCAUCUCUGUGACCUUUGAAAACCCGUGGUGAAAAAGCAAAGCGUUUCUGAAUACUGGAAUAAGUGCGUGGAAAACUGAUAAGUAAGUGCUCGCCUGCCGUUCCAUAGCCAACGGGGGACUGCCACGUGCCACUCACAACAAUGGAGUUCGGGUUGGAUGCCUCGACACUACAGCUCUGCGCUCAAGCCAGGGGGCGACUGGCGGGCUGUCCAUCUCAUCUCUCCGUCAAUGGAUACCGGGACCUCCUCCACGCACUGCCUCACUCCUCCCAGCCAGAACACACUCGCGGCGCCGCUCUCUACGUCACGGCAGUGGUGGUGUUCUACGUGGCCCUGCUGCUGGUACUCGUGGGCGGUGGGCUAAGGCGACGGGCGGCACGGGCGGCUUCCACAUCAGGGCGCCGCCACAUCCUUACCUAUUACCCAGCCACGCACACCGCCACGCCUGCCCUUGCUGACCACCAUCCUCAACCUGACGCCUCGGCCACCCAGGUGUAAUAAUGAGCAGCGUUCACCACAGUUUCAGGUGACGCGAGGGAAAGGAGAAGGAGAGGUCGUUGGCGCCUCUUGGCCGUAAACCUCCUAGUGUCCUCCAGCAGGCAGCGAACGAGGGGCUUAUACCAGACUUUCCCUGCAGGGGUCGACGUCGCUGCCUUAAUGUCAGUGAGCAGUAAAGAGUGUCUCCUUUGUCUCAGGCUCGGCACACACGCGUCUUUGGUCUAACUGAUACCAACUGCCAGCGACGCCUUCUUGUGAGUAGGAUAUUGGCCAAAAGCAACGCAGUACGUGUUGUGACAGGCGUGUGGGAGUGUGCACUGCUGCUCUUGUUUACACGUACAUACAUAUCAGUGUCCCGUAGCUGUGUGUGUGUGUGUGUGUGUGUGUGUGUGUGUGUGUGUGUGUGUGUGUGUGUGUGUGUGUGUGUGUGUGUGUGUGUGUGUGUGUGUGUGUGUGUGUGUGUGUGUAUGAGUAUCAUAAACUUUAUCCUUCAAUUUGCGUUGUGUGUGUGUGUGUGUGUGUGUGUGUGUGUGUGUGUGUGUGUGUGUGUGUGUGUGUGUGUGUGUUAAGGUGCAGUGUUUCAGUUUCCUCAAGCGUGACUGCUCAUCUCUCACUGUUAGGCUUUAGGCGUGGCUCUGGUCACUGCCACGGCGACCAGAGCUUCCCGAGGCACCCAUGACACGAACCUUUAGUCUAUGAGCGAGCCAUCAAAUGUAUUCCCAACGCCAUUCAGCGUCACUGCGCCACACUCGAAGUAUUGAUGCGGUCUUCCUGUCACUGUCUACAUGUAACCGUGAAAUAAAAGCAACUGAAUGCCGAGUGUGAGCGCUGCCCCAACGCAUGUAGGUGAUGUGAGGGUAGCCAUAUGUAUGUCACUGUAUAGUUCUCUCUGGUUCAUAAGAUACGGGAUAGGGAUCUCUCUCUCUCUCUCUCUCUCUCUCUCUCUCUCUCUCUCUCUCUCUCUCUCUCUCUCUCUCUCUCUCUCUUUCUCUCAUUAUUGGUCCAUCUGUGGGGAUGUGGGGAAUACAAAACUAUUUUACAAGUUGAAGCGAACUUAUACACACAUUCCUGGUACUCGAACAAAAGGCAAUGCCAGUCAGGGGGUACGAGGCGCGUCUCUAUCAGGCCCACCAAAUAUAAAAGAACGAUAAUCUUUGGAAUUGCUUAAGUUUCAUUUAAAAUUUGAAAGAAACGGAAGAAGAAUUAUGAACUCAAUAUGCGUUUUAGUGUCGUGAGUCUCUCCCCUUUCUUGCUCCUUAACUCAGAUUUACCUCCUUUCACUUUCGUUUAUCUAACCGAUGUGUACCUUAGAAAGAUCGAAAAAAAAGAUGAAAAGGAGAGAUAAUUAAUCAGCAACACUGGAAGGAGGGCAAGGCAAGACAGGGCAGGGACUGAAGGAGGAAGGCCAGACGAGUCGCUACACAGAUGGAUGGUCUUCACUCAAUGUAUAAUUUAUUACUCACAUAUGUUACUACAACGGUAGGUGGAAAAUAAAUGUCUUGACCGA